UUUCUGCACUCAGAUCUUCUUUUAGGAGCUUCUGAAGCACAGUGGAUGAGAUCCAGCAGAAGACGGGUAUGUGGCACAUGAUGUGGAGGCUUCUUGCUCUUCUGAUGUGUGAGAUGAUUCUGCUGGCUUGAUGCUCAUCACUGAUUCUCUUCCUGAAAUAUUCCUUCUUCUGAGGCUCAUUGAAUCCCUGAAUCUCUGUCAGACGGUUGAUGUAUUUGGAGGGGAUCUGAUUGGCUGCUGCUGGUCUGGAGGUGAUCCAGAUGAGAGCAGAGGGAAGCAGCUCUCCUUUCAUGAGGUUUGACAUCAACACACCCACUGAUGAAGUCUCAGUCACAUCAGAAACUUUCUGAGCGUCUGAAAACAUUAGUGUCAUUCUGCUUUCAUCCAGACCAUCAAAGAUGAACACAACUUUACAUUCCUCAUAAAUCUUUAAAUCCAGAUCUUGAAGUUCAGGAUGAAAGUUCAGCAGAAGAC